rnacentral:snRNA from 1 species
UACUCUUGUUUCUCUUCAGAUUGCAUACAUCUUUUACCUUUGGCUAAA